CUCGUCCACAUCUUGCCGCUCCAGAUUGUGUGUUCCGCUUCUUCUUUCGUCAUGCAUGUCCUCCACAGAUCAAGCAUGAUAGAAGAAGAAGCGGCUUACGCAAUCUGGGACGGAGAUGCAUGAGUUCUGAG
rnacentral:pre_miRNA from 1 species